GGCGGAGGAGGGCGUUGCCAGCACCCAGAGACCUGCUUGUCAGGCUACUAGUUGCCCAAGACUAGGGAAAGCCUGCCAGAGGGAGCCCCAAAACAAACUCCUGCUUUCAGAGAGUCUGCAGGUGGGCCAACCUCUAGGUCAGCUCAUUCCAGGACGCCUGAGCUUCGAUCUCAGCCCUGCGGAGAACUAUGGAAGCAAGGAGAUCCUGGAGGAGGAGCCAGGUGUGCUCCCGUUGACUUCUGUGGCCUCCUCUGGGGAGAUCUACUAGUGUCCCUGCAUGGGAUCCUGCCCUUCCAGGGACUCUGGCUGGUAAGGCCUUUCUAUAAACUCCUGUAAUUUGGGGGAGAAAGUCUGGAGCUAGAGUCUCACUGAAUGAAAACCAGAGCAUAAAACACUCUUCUCUCCAAAUCAAGUCUGGGACUAGACCUGCUUUGGGACCCGAAUCUCCAAAGAUGUCAUGAUAAAGAUAAAGGACCUAACACAGCACAGGUGGGUCCCAGACCCUCCAUGGGCCACUAUGCUGUGACUCCACAGGGCUUACUUCAGCAGAUCGCGAGGACAACGCUCUGCAGCUCCGAGGCCCUGUUUCUGCGUCUUGCUAGUCUGGCAGAUCUGGAAUGGGCCUGGGAAUGUGCAUACCUAACUCAUUCCCUGUGGCUCCUGGAGGGAUUAUACUCAGAGGGCCAUUGAUGUCCAAAGAUGACAGGCAACCAGCUGGACCUCUUAGGGACGCUCUGAGGACUGAGAAGGCACAAGGUGUGAGGGGACAGGAGCGAGAGCCCCCUGCCUGGGCAGAGGAAGAAUGAAGAUGAAGUGGGCUCUAAAGCUAAUCAAACUGAACUGAUGGUACCUAGAGGAAGGAGAGCAGGGCUGAACAGCCUUAGGAAGUCAGAGUUAAAUAAAUGACCAGAGGGUGAAUAAUACAUUAGGACAGAUAGGGAGGGACUUUGGCAAAGUAAAAACCUCAUUUGACUCAAAGUAUAAAUAGAUGGAUUGGCAGGGAGAGAACAGGAAAAAGAAUCGCAGUGAAACCCACUGUGUUUAAGGAAGCAGAAGAAAGAUGCUCCGGGCCAAGGAAGAGGUUUGAAAAGGAAACCAAAUGCCAACCUUUCCCCGAGGCAGUGUUCCUGAUAAAGCGCAGGACUGUGCAGUGAGAAAUUUGGUAGCUGGGCUCUUUGC